GUGAGUAACACGUGGAUAACCUACCUAUAAGACUGGGAUAACUUCGGGAAACCGGAGCUAAUACCGGAUAAUAUUUUGAACCGCAUGGUUCAAAAGUGAAAGACGGUCUUGCUGUCACUUAUAGAUGGAUCCGCGCUGCAUUAGCUAGUUGGUAAGGUAACGGCUUACCAAGGCAACGAUGCAUAGCCGACCUGAGAGGGUGAUCGGCCACACUGGAACUGAGACACGGUCCAGACUCCUACGGGAGGCAGCAGUAGGGAAUCUUCCGCAAUGGGCGAAAGCCUGACGGAGCAACGCCGCGUGAGUGAUGAAGGUCUUCGGAUCGUAAAACUCUGUUAUUAGGGAAGAACAUAUGUGUAAGUAACUGUGCACAUCUUGACGGUACCUAAUCAGAAAGCCACGGCUAACUACGUGCCAGCAGCCGCGGUAAUACGUAGGUGGCAAGCGUUAUCCGGAAUUAUUGGGCGUAAAGCGCGCGUAGGCGGUUUUUUAAGUCUGAUGUGAAAGCCCACGGCUCAACCGUGGAGGGUCAUUGGAAACUGGAAAACUUGAGUGCAGAAGAGGAAAGUGGAAUUCCAUGUGUAGCGGUGAAAUGCGCAGAGAUAUGGAGGAACACCAGUGGCGAAGGCGACUUUCUGGUCUGUAACUGACGCUGAUGUGCGAAAACGUGGGGAUCAAACAGGAUUAGAUACCCUGGUAGUCCACGCCGUAAAC
rnacentral:rRNA from 1 species